GGAGUUGUGGCUCAAUGGUAGAGCACUUGCCUAGCAUGUGUGAGGUACUUGGUUCAAUUCUCAGCUCCA
rnacentral:tRNA from 1 species